rnacentral:sRNA from 1 species
GUGUGCAUUAAAAAUGAAUUAACUAAAAUAAGCCUAAUAAAACCAUAAAAUCCAAUUGGUUUACUUAGUUGAUUGAAGCCAGGAGUAUGCACUAGAAAAAAGAGUACAAAGGAUAAACGGUCACAGAAAUGCCUGAAUCUUUUUAACUGCCUUUUUACGAACUUGGCAACAAUUUGCGACAAUAAACUGAAAAACCAAAGCGAAAAAUGGCACUCAAACUGCUGUCAAGAGGCACAGCAAACCGAAAUGCAAACAAAAGACAGGAGGAGCGAUGAGAAAUGGAUGCAUUUGGGAAAAUCUGGUGAAGCCAAAUCAAACGUAGUCGGUGGGGGGGAAAAUAACCCUGUUUGUAUUCUGUGUGCAGCAAUCCUGGCCCCAGGACAAUUGUCAAGGUGAAAAGGGGAAACUGCAAAAAAAGGGACACCAUUCGAUGGAAUAUAAAAAUGAACUACAAUUUUGCAAAUUUUAAGCACAUUUCAGUUGCUGUGAAAAAGUCGUCAGCGUGUCGAAAAAACCGAUUUGCAUAUUUACACCUACACAAGUGCAAACAGCACCCACACUCGUGCAGGCGCACACAGAUACUAACACACAUAACUUGCAUACAAUAAAUCUAGUGACGUCUCGAGAGAAAGACGUCACGUACAAAGAAGAGGUUGGCGAAAAGUAAGAGAAGCUGGAUACGUUGCUUUUCCUGUUUCCUGCUUAAGUUCCUGCCCAGCUCUUGUUGUGUUGGGAAAUCCUUGCAGUCGGCGAGAAUGGUUCGGUUUCCCCCCAAAAGCCCCGAAUGCCGAGCAGAAGGUCCUUGCAUCCUGCUCCUCCUGCUCACCGCAAAGUGACGGUGAAAAAUCGUCGCCAGUUCACAUGAAAAUUGUCAGAGCGCUAUUACGAAAAUGAAAAUGAAAAUGAAAAGAAAAUCGAGCUCAUCAUGUGUAUAUAAAAAUACAUAUUUUCCACUCUACCUCGACUGCGUUGAUAAUGAGCACCAUUGAGCGGGAAACGGAGAAAACUAAGGAACUGGAUUUAUAUUCAUACGAAGUACGGAGAAAAGUGCUUUGUUAAUACUUUCGGCGUAAAGACUUUUCGGAAUAAAAGAUUUCGUCGAAUAGCUUAGUCGGAAUGAAGCAUUAAAUUGGAGCAUUCGGCGAGCUAACUAAAUUUAAACCUUAAACUCAGCUAUUUUAUUGUUAUUUAUGUAUAGUUGUUUACAGAACUGAGCAACCAUGCAACAUGCAGCCUUGUUUAUUUGUGCAAAAACAUUUCUCUAGCGAAAUGCUCGCCUGAAUUAAAACAAUUCCUUGGCAAUUGAUUGACUCUGGACCAACCUCCUCGUUUAUCGCCGGCGGAGGAGAAGCCUGAGCACCGCAACCACAUCAUGUUCCCCUAUUAACUUGCAUCCCGAACAGUCGACCAAGCCCACAUAUUGUUACAGUGAAGCCCCGCACCGUGUCCCCGCUCCUAGGGCGUCUGUCACGUGGAACGGGGUAAAUGGAUAAAUAACGAUAUGUUUACAGAUGGCACUGGGCAAAGCGAAAAGGAGGAGAUGAGUUAAGGUGGCACGUAUCCGAGGGCUGGGAACGGAGGAGCAGAGAAGAUCCGACCCGGGAGACAACUCCUUUGGCAGUUGUCAGUUGCCUGUUGCCUCGGCAAACAAACAAAUGCGGCGGCGUCUGAAGAAUUUGUAUGCAAACAAACGGGACACACGGCAAACACCCGGCAACUGGCAAACAUGCAAACAAACAAACAAACAAACAUGCUCACGACAAUGUUUUGUUUCAACUGCGUGGGAAUGGCAAACGUCUUCAAGGAGAGAGUCAGAGAUUUUCAUUUUUUUUGGGACUUUGGCUUAAAGCUUUAAGCAAAUUCUUAGCCAUACUUGAACUGCAAAACAGCAAAUAGCUGCUCAUUUUUAAUGCAUACUUCAUAAAUCCUUGUCAUAACUUUGUUAGCCAAGUUGCGUUGUUGCCUCCGCCAAGUCAUCAUCCGCCAGUAUCGCCCACCCAUCCAGCUCCACGAGUUUGUCUUCUUGGCGUUGCGUAUACGCAACGUUGGUCGCGCCACUGCAAUUUUAUGGCUUAUGGCCACGCCCCCAAGCGGGAAACUAUUUAUCUGACAUUUAUAUGCAAUGGCACUGCGAAAGCCAUCAGCCAUAUUGCUAAGUUUUAGAUCGAGUAUCAUCAAUAAGCGUCGAUAAGGAUCUUGCCUAUACAUUUUUUAUAAUGACUAAUAAAACUGAGAUACUCCCAAGUAUCAGUCAAAUGGUGA